CCAGGCAUAAAACGGUGAAUGUUUCUGACUGAAAAAGCGAUUCCAAUGUUGAAAAGCGCAUGUGUGAUGGUCUAGCUAAAUUAGAUUUGCUGAGUUCCCAUGUGUGUUUUUAUGUUUUAUAUGUGCAACCUGCUGCUAGUAAAGGUUGCUCGUUCUGUUAGGUCAGUUGGAAAUUUGAUCACAUUCUUGUUUUAAUAUUUUCGUUUUGGUUUUGUUUGGCUGAGGGGAUGUGGAGGUGCACUCUGCAUUUGCAUUUCUGCACAAGAUCCCAGGACUCAUCAAGAGAACAAGCCCCAAUGAGAUAUCGAGAGAAGACGAAAUCCCCGAAGUCAAGUGCAUUUCUAUCAGUGUUCGUCACACAGAAAGGUGCCAACACGCCUUUAAUGGUCCCGCCCACAGUGUGGAUUUUAUGAAUGGCUUUGGGGGAUGAGAUGAUAUCAGAGACAGAGAGAGACCAGGUCACGGUGGGUGAACAAUAAUUGAACGCAGAGCCAAACCUUGGGGAGAGCAAAAAGGUUUCAGGAAAGAAAUGAUCCCAAAAGAAGAAGCUUUUAAUCACAGGUAAAUACCAAAUAAACUGCCCAGGAUCUUUGGUCCAUUAGAAAACACUUCAAAUUACAAUUAACAAUAUCACAUUUAAUUCAGUUUCAAAUGGAUGAAAUGUCAAGAUAAAUAAUUAGAUGUACUGUACGAAUUAUUAAAAUUAGCCUCCAACUUCCUUUCCUUUCUUGUUUCAGUAUUUUUGAAAGUAGGCAAAAAAAAAAAAAAACAGUCCUAAUCUUGGGAUUCACGACAA
ensembl:lncRNA